rfam:Ictidomys tridecemlineatus contig099869, whole genome shotgun sequence.
UGGGUUGUGGCUCAGCAGUACAGCGCUCGUCUCCCAUGCGCGGAACCCUGGGUUCGAUCCUCAGCACCACAA